AGGGAAUCUUCGGCAAUGGACGCAAGUCUGACCGAGCAACGCCGCGUGAGUGAAGAAGGUUUUCGGAUCGUAAAACUCUGUUGUUAGAGAAGAAUAAGGAUGAGAGUAGAAUGUUCAUCCCUUGACGGUAUCUAACCAGAAAGCCACGGCUAACUACGUGCCAGCAGCCGCGGUAAUACGUAGGUGGCAAGCGUUGUCCGGAUUUAUUGGGCGUAAAGCGAGCGCAGGCGGUUCUUUAAGUCUGAUGUGAAAGCCCCCGGCUUAACCGGGGAGGGUCAUUGGAAACUGGGGAACUUGAGUGCAGAAGAGGGGAGUGGAAUUCCAUGUGUAGCGGUGAAAUGCGUAGAUAUAUGGAGGAACACCAGUGGCGAAGGCGGCUCUCUGGUCUGUAACUGACGCUGAGGCAUGAAAGCGUGGGGAGCAAAC
rnacentral:rRNA from 1 species